AUUGAACGCUGGCGGAAUGCUUUACACAUGCAAGUCGAACGGGCUUGAGGGGCUUGCUCUUCAAGUUAGUGGCGAACGGGAGAGUAACACAUCGGAACGUACCGUGUAGUGGGGGAUAACUAUCCGAAAGGAUAGCUAAUACCGCAUACGAUCUACGGAUGAAAGCGGGGAACCUUCGGGCCUCGCGCUAUACGAGCGGCCGAUGUCUGAUUAGCUAGUUGGUGAGGUAAAGGCUCACCAAGGCGACGAUCAGUAGCGGGUCUGAGAGGAUGAUCCGCCACACUGGGACUGAGACACGGCCCAGACUCCUACGGGAGGCAGCAGUGGGGAAUUUUGGACAAUGGACGAAAGUCUGAUCCAGCCAUUCCGCGUGAGUGAAGAAGGCCUUCGGGUUGUAAAGCUCUUUUGUCAGGGAAGAAAAGGCUCCUUCUAAUAUAGGGGGCUCAUGACGGUACCUGAAGAAUAAGCACCGGCUAACUACGUGCCAGCCGCCGCAGUAA
rnacentral:rRNA from 1 species